rnacentral:sRNA from 1 species
AGAGGAAGUAAAAGUCGUAACAAGGUUUCCGUAGGUGAACUUGCGGAAGGAUCAUUACAAGUCGAGGCUACCGAACGUUGGAAACAGCGGUUAGGAGCUUACACCCACCCGUGUCGUACAUACUAUUGUUCGCUUCGGCGGGCCGUGGCCUCCACUGCGGGCUCUGCUCGUGUGUGCCCGCCAGAUGCUACCAAACUCUGAAUGUUAGUGAUGUCUGAGUACUAUCUAAUAGUUAAAACUUUCAACAACGGAUCUCUUGGUUCUGGCAUCGAUGAAGCAACGCAGCCGACAAUGCGAAUAAGUAAUGUGAAUAGCAGAAUCCAGUGAAUCAUCGAAUCUUUGAACGCACAUUGCGCCCUGUGGUAUUCCGAAGGGCAUGCCUGUUCGAGCGUCAUUAAACCACUCACGCCUAGCGUGGUAUGGGGGCACGCGGUCUUCGCGGCCCAUCAAAAUUAGUGGCGGCGCCGGUGGGCUCUAAGCGUAUUACAUACUCCCGCUAUAUAGUUCACCCCGGUGGCUCAGCCAAGAACCCCCAAUACUUGACUAGUGUUGACCUCGGAUACUAGAGUAUGAGGAUAUCCCGCGUGAACUUAAGUCAUAUCUAAUAUAGCGGAGAGA